ACUAAGAUAUAAUAUUCUCAGAUAUAAAUCAGAAAAGGUUUAAUUCAUAAUAUGUUAAAAUGUUUGUAUAAAUCAAUAAAAAAGACACAACCAAAUUAAAACUGAUAAAAUUCUAAACAGGUAAUUUACUAAAAAAAGGUAAUCCAAAUGAUUAAUAGACAUGAGUAGAUGCUUGAACUUGCUGGUAAGUAGAGAAAUGCAUAUACAUACAUGUAAGUGCCGUAACCUAAUCAAAUCAGAAUCUCUGGGAGUCCCCAGAUACUUUUUAAAAAUCUUCUCAUCCACAUAAAUUCAAUGUGUAGCCAAAGUUAAGAACCACUACCCUAAAACAGUGCUAACUCAAAGUGUGGGCAGUGGACCAGCAGCAGUAGCAUCUAGCAGCUUGUUAAAAAUGCGAAUUACUGAGUUUCCUUUCAGACCGAUUGAAUCAGAAUUUCUCCAGGUGAUUCUGAUGCAUGCUCAAUUUUGAGAACUCUGAAACCUCUCUGCAUUUUAUUUACAGAGCUACUUGGAGGAUAAUAGCAGGUGAAAGUAUUUUCAGAAAAGUAAAAAUAGUAAUCGCAAAUACAAAUAAUCAUACUAUUCCGAUAUAUUUUACAUAAUCUUAGGGUCAUACUCAGGACCUAGCAAUGAAAAUGACAAUAAUUCAUUACUGAAAUAGAAAUCUCUUGGAGACAUAAAGAAUUAGUCCAUGUCCUUAUUUCUGAAUUGUCUCCAAAUACAGUGGAGUGUUAGUUAGUUCUAUAAUACAGUCUUAGUAGAUGUGAAACUGCCACAGGGAUAGGAAGCCAAAUGGCUUACUUUUAAGUUUCUUAAAUAUUUUGUUACUUUAUGAUGGCUUUUUUUUUGUAAUGGGUUUUUGCAGUGUUUCCACUAAAUGGGACAAGUGUAUUGGUGCAGUUUGGCUAUUCUGCACUAUUAAAUUUCAGAAUAUUGGCUUGUGGUUAUGUUGUCUAUUAUUUGAGGCUUUACCCAAAGAAAACUAACAGACAUGUGCCCCCUUUUACCCUUUAUCUAUGUCUGACAAUAUUCCAUACAUAGCCAAGCUAUUAAAGAAGAGAAAUGUCGUGGUCUUUGGGUUUUAAGAAGGUUGCUCUGACUGCUGUGUAGAACAACUCCAAACAACAUCAGCAUCAUCUAGAAGCUUGUUAAAAAUGCAUAUUAUUGAAUGUGUGUGUACCAAGAGGUGUCCACUGAAGUUCAUUCGGAUGUAGAAAGGAACUUGUAAAACUGUUGCAUUAUGUUGGAACUUGCAUAGCUAACCAACCAGGAGUUUGGGCAUCUGGCUGAGAACCAAGUCUAUCUUAGUCUCAACUGGGUUGUAGUACCACCUGGUGGUCAUUUUCCACUCUAGUUUAAUCAUGAAUGGGGACAAUUCUAUACACAUGGCUGACUGGAAUUCCAGAACACUGACUGAUGCCCCUUUGGCAACUUGAUCUGUGACACUGGGCUUAGGAAAUACCAGGGACACUGGGACCUAUCCACACCAACCACUCUGCUUCCUGCCUCACCCUCUCCUCCAAACUCCUACUCCCCAAAUGAUAAAAAGAGGGCUGACAGGAAUGCAGGAAUCAAUUAGUAGUUGUAUUAUGUUCAAAUUUACAUUAUCAUGAAAUUCAUGUACAUUAGGAUGUAGAACUAUAUAUGGUUAAUAAAAAUGUGCACAUAUUAGGAUACAAAUUUUUAAAAUUUCAAGAGUACUACUGAAU
rnacentral:lncRNA from 1 species